CCCAGGUUGCAUCAAAAAAAAUUUUAUAAAUCUACAUGAAUAAAGAUCAAAUUCUUACCUAGAUAGUAGUAGAAUAGGAGAUCAAAUCUCUAAAAAUCUAGAAUCAACCUUUGCAGAGGCCUGAAAGUGCAGACCCUCUACUUCGCAUGCACGUCAGACAACGUAGGAAAGCGGGAUGAACUCUGAUCAAAUCACCUUUGCGACCUAACCAAAUGAGGGGGGAGAGGUGCUGGUGUAACACCUCACACCAGUAGAGGGGACACCCAAGGUGGGCCCACGACAAGGGAGAGGAUGGGCGGCAAUGAGU
rnacentral:lncRNA from 1 species